AAGGCUUGACAUACGCCGGAUCGCCGUGGAGACACGGUUUCCCUUUGUGGCCGGUGUACAGGUGGUGCAUGGCUGUCGUCAGCUCGUGUCGUGAGAUGUUGGGUUAAGUCCCGCAACGAGCGCAACCCUUGUCUCGUGUUGCCAGCACGCCCUUGUGGUGGUGGGGACUCACGGGAGACUGCCGGGGUCAACUCGGAGGAAGGUGGGGAUGACGUGUGAGAGUACGUCC
rnacentral:misc_RNA from 1 species